AACGCAGCGAAGGGCGAUAAGUAAUGUGAAUUGCAGAAUUCAGUGAAUCAUCGAAUCUUUGAACGCACCUUGCGCCCUUUGGUAUUCCGAAGGGCAUGCCUGUUUGAGUGUCAUUAAAUUCUCAAACCUCUUGCUAGUUUAUUCUAGUUUUCGAGGCUUUGGAUAUGGGAGUCUUUGCUGGAACCUAUUCAUUUAGGGUUCAGCUCUCCUUAAAUGCAUUAGCGGUUAACUUGAUCCCCUUUCAUUGGUGUGAUAAUUAUCUACGCCUUUCGAAAUGAUCAGCAGAAUGUUAAUAGCUUCUAACCAGUCCCUAGUCGGACAACUUUUAUGACCAUUUGACCUCAAAUCAGGUAGGACUACCCGCUGAACUUAA
rnacentral:rRNA from 1 species